UUGAGGAUGUAGGAGCAUUACUGAACAACCUUAAUUUUUCUAUGCCGCAUUUAUUUUCCUUCUUGUAUCUGCACGCAUUUCUCAGUCUACCUCAAAUAUUUUAACAAUAAUCUCAAUUUUUUAACAUUAAUCACAUGAAAAUCGGAACUCGCCUUGUGCCCCCUUUACACUUUGAAAUUGCCCUCUUAUGUCAAUCAAAAUCUCUAUAUCGGUUAAACUUUCUUAGUCCAUUCCUGACUAUGGAUCAUGUUUAUUUGGUUCCAUUGCUUAGUAGAAAAAUUAUAUUUUGAGGAAGAAAAUAGACUUAGUUAAUUCAUGAAGUCUUUAUUUAAAUUUUGUGGCUUUAUUGAUGAUGUUUGGCUAAUAUGAUUUCUGUUUCCUCAUAUAUUCUGCAUUCUAUGUUUCAUGUGGCAGUGCGUUGUUUGGGGUAUUAUGCCAUUGACUCUGACAAGAUCCAGUGCUUCUGUUAAUCAUGCCAUCACUUUUCUCAUCAUCCUGCAGUACAUCCCACGACUGAUCGUUAUUUUCCCUUUGAAUUAUAGAAUUAUAAAACACACCGGUGUUGUGGCAAGUGCUUGGACAGGGGCAGCAUACAAUCUCAUUCUCUACUUGUUAGCAAGUCAUGUCAUAGGAGCUGUAUGGUAUUUGAUGUCAGUUGAACGAGUAUUUUCGUGCUGGAAGGAAUACUGUUUGUUAGAAAAGAGCGGUGUACCUUGUAGACCUGAUUAUCUUGACUGUUCAUCUUCAGGCAAUGCAUAUGAUAGAUGGUAUAAAUCCACUCAGAUCUUCAAAAAGUGUAGUGGAAAAAGUAAUGAAUUUGAUUUAGGAAUAUUCGCUAACGCUGUCAGUGACGAUGUUCCUUCAGCAGCUUUCAUCCCGAAAUACUUUUACUGUCUGUGGUACGGUUUAAAAAAUCUAAGUUCAUAUGGACAAAGUUUAAAGACGAGUAAUUAUGUGGUUGAGACAAUCUUCAGUAUUAUAAUAUGUCUUAUGGGCCUAGUCUUCUUCGCACUGCUGAUAGGCAAUAUGCAGACCUACCUACAAUCUACGACAGCAAGACUUGAAGAAUGGAGGGUCAAACGAAGAGAUACAGAGGAAUGGAUGAGACAUCGCCAACUACCUCCGGAGCUGCAGGAGCGUGUGCGCCGAUUUGUCCAAUACAACUGGCUUUCUACAAGAGGUGUAAAAGAAGAUAUCAUUCUGCAAGAAUUACCACUGGACUUACGCCGCGAAAUUCAGAAGCAUCUUUGCCUAGAUCUUGUCCGUCGUGUACCUUUCUUCUCAAAAAUGGACGACCAACUCUUGGAUGCAAUAUGUGAACGCCUAGUUUCAUCUUUGAACACCAGAGGAACAUAUAUUGUCCGUGAAGGGGAUCCAGUUACUGAAAUGCAUUUCAUAAUCCGAGGCCAACUUGAAAGUUCAACAACUGAUGGUGGACGGUCAGGGUUCUUCAAUUCCAUCACCCUCAAACCUGGCGAUUUCUGUGGCGAAGAACUGCUGACAUGGGCGCUGAUGAAUACUUCAGACAUAAACCUUCCAGCUUCUACUCGAACGGUCAAGUGCAACACAGAAGUGGAAGCCUUUGCCCUUCGUGCAGAUGACCUCAGAUUCUUUGCAAAUCAAUUUAAACGGCUGCACAGCAAGAAACUGCAGCACGUUUUUCGCUACUAUUCUCACCAAUGGAGGACUUGGGGAGCUCGCAUUUUACAAGCUGCUUGGAGAAGAUAUAAGAGGAGGAAACUUGCUGAGGAACUGGCGAGACAUGAGAGCAUGUAUUAUAUGCAAUUAUCUGACGAUGAUGAUGAUGGGGAUGAUGAUGAUGAUGACAAUAGCCACAAACCUUCAAUAGAAAGCAAUACUCUUGCGGCUACUAUAUUAGCUUCUAAAUUUGCUGCAAACACAAGGAAAGGGGCUGCUCAAAAGGUAAGGUUUGUCGAACCUGGAGACUCCAGCUUACGAAUGCCAAAGCUUUUUAAGCCCGAGGACCCUAGUUUUUGAGAGGAUAAAGAAGAUAGAGAAAUGGGAGCAAGUGAUGACAAAUGGCAGGACUAAGCGGCAGCAUUUUAUAGGUAUGAUAGUUUUUUUGCAACUGCUGAUCUUUUGGAACGCUAGCCUGGUAUAUGAUCAAAUGGAGUUCGUCUUAGGUUGAUGGAUGAACGACUUGUUUUAUGACUUGGGAUGAUACAACAUUUGCAGGCCUAUUAGAACAUUCCCAGCUUCUCAGAGUGCAUAUAUAUGCUGGUCUCUCCUUUCAGGGGUUGAAAAGCUUGUUUCACAGUUGAAGAAAUCGUGAACCACCCGAUAUUUUAGUGGAUGGAAAUUUAAAGAUGUGAGUAGGUUGUCUGCAAAUACAUCUUUUGAUUGCCUAUCCCUAUGUACAAGCACCUAUUCCUUGCUCCAGAUAUCAUCUUCAUGAUUAAACUCAGAAAAUUGAAUCGGAAAUGGGAAGUAGAAGCAGUAUCAUUCUGAUAAUCUUAAUGAUUAUCCCAUGGUAAAAUCUACCAGCUCAUUGUAUUAGCAUCACAUAGGGAUCCUACUGGUAUUUUGUUAUCAUUAUAGCUGAUAAUGAGAAAGCAUAUCCGAAAGGCUUUAGUACUGGGCACGAAGCUGCAGCACAGCUCGGUUAGAAACAUAUGAUCAAUCUUAAAUUUGUUGUAAUUAGGAGUCUUAUGUAAUAUUUUUAUGAUGUGUAGCUGAGAAAACUUGAUUAUCUGCCAAGACAUAGUAUGUACUUGACCGCAAUAUCAAUGUGGUG